GACAGAGGGGGCAAGCGUUGCUCGGAAUCACUGGGCGUAAAGGGCGCGUAGGCGGGCUGGCAAGUCGGUCGUGAAAUCCCUCGGCUUAACCGAGGAACUGCCGUCCAAACUGCUUUGCUUGAGACCGGGAGAGGUGAGUGGAAUUCCCAGUGUAGCGGUGAAAUGCGUAGAUAUUGGGAGGAACACCGGUGGCGAAGGCGGUUCUCUGGGCCUGACCUGACGCUGAGGAGCGAAAGCGUGGGGAGCGAACAGG
rnacentral:rRNA from 1 species